AACAUUUGGUGGUGGCCUUCGCAUUUGCGUGGCUGACUUGUAUAUUUUUGUCAAAUCUAAUACAAAAAAGCCCGCAAAUAGCGGGCUUUUUUGU
rfam:Gammaproteobacteria bacterium Q1 genomic scaffold scaffold8, whole genome shotgun sequence.